UUUGAUAUGGAUACUGUUACCACUCCUAAUUCAGAAGAAACUGAAAAUUACAGGGGGACAUUAUAAACAUCUGGCAAUGCAGAGCAACUUGGUGUCAAAAUGAAAUUGCAUUCCUUCAAGAGAUGAAGAGCUUUAUAACAUUAACGAAAGUGAUGUUGGAGAACUGCUCCAAUCUCAUGUACAGUCAUGUGUCAAGACACUAGGUAAAAGCUGAAGAAGAAAAAAUAGGUCAAAAUGCCUCUCAGGACCUCAAAAGUGGAAGCAGCCAGAAACACAGGAUGAUUCCUUUACUUUCCAAUCCUUUGAAUGAGACAGUGAUGUCUGUAUUCUUACUCUUAUCAGGCAAGCACUAAUACUAAUGCUUCAUGUCUGCAAGGGCAGAGCGCUCCCACAUACAUCUCAUAUGGUCCUUACUGCCACCUGGGAGCUGGCAGAGAAACAGGUGAGCAGGACGCUCAGACUCAGCUGAGUAAGUUGUCUCACGACCCCAGGCUCAAAGCAGCAGUGCUGUAACUGGAACUAACACCUUUAGGCUUGGGAAAAGGCAGGGCUCUCUUCUCUUUACCACUGUCUCCUGGC